rnacentral:rRNA from 1 species
CUUUCUUUGCUGGCGACCGGCGCACGGGUGAGUAACACGUAUCCAACCUGCCCUUUACUCGGGGAUAGCCUUUCGAAAGAAAGAUUAAUACCCGAUAGCAUAAUGAUUCCGCAUGGUUUCAUUAUUAAAGGAUUCCGGUAAAGGAUGGGGAUGCGUUCCAUUAGGUUGUUGGUGGGGUAACGGCCCACCAAGCCCUCGAUGGAUAGGGGUUCUGAGAGGAAGGUCCCCCACAUUGGAACUGAGACACGGUCCAA